GGGAAUGUGGCUUAGUGGUAGAGUGCUUGCCUAGCAUGCAGGAGGCCUCUGGGUUUGAUUCCGCAAUACCA
rnacentral:tRNA from 1 species